ACAGGAGCGUGGAAGACUCCAGAAUCCACUCUGGCUGGAAUCCGGUGGAUACAGCAGUGUUACAGAACAGUUCUCCACAGUCGCUGUCCACAUGGGUCAGUGGGACCAAGCAGCACUCUGCUAAUGUGAGACUCUGACCAGCAACAUCCAGCAAGACCCAAGCAGCGUUUUCUAUCUCCCAGCUGGAGUUUUUUGUUUGUCUGUGACUGGAGAGUCAGAUUUUUGUUGAGCUUCACACUUGCAGAGUCUUUUUGCAGGAUCAGAAAACAAAACCAGGAGGCCUGU